rnacentral:rRNA from 1 species
GACGAACGCUGGCGGCGUGCCUAACACAUGCAAGUCGAGCGGAGAUAAUUGAAAGCUUGCUUUUAGUUAUUUUAGCGGCGGACGGGUGAGUAACGCGUGGGCAACCUGCCUUUCACAGGGGGAUAACACAGGGAAACUUGUGCUAAUACCGCAUAAUACAACGAGGUGGCAUUACCUUGUUGUCAAAGGAGCAAUCCGGUGAUAGAUGGGGCCCGCGUCCAAUUAGCUAGUUGGUGAUGUAACGGACCACCAAGGCGACGAUUGGUAGCCGAACUGAGAGGUUGAUCGGCCACAUUGGGACUGAGACACGGCCCAGACUCCUACGGGAGGCA